ensembl:lncRNA
ACCAGAGCUCUGCCAGGGGCUGCCUGACCGGCAGCCGUGCCAAACCACAGCUGUUUGAUCGUGAAGUGCAAGAGAGGAGCAGCGCGGCCGCAGCGUGGGCCGUGAGAGGCAGAGUGCAUCCAUCAAGCUUGUUGCUCGGGCCGGAAAGGUGGAAAUCAACAAAAUCAACAGCUGCCGGCUGCUGGUGGUGGCCCAGGGGGGCUCUCCAGGUCUGCAAAGGCUCCGCCAGGUGUGCGGCGCUGUGGGUGCUGGGCUCAAUCCGGGUUCCCUGCGUGCUGCAGUGGAACUUCUCCAGGCAGCCCUUCCAAGGCUGGCAUUAGGUGAUGGCAAUGCCAGCGGUCGUGGCUGUGCCAUGAGUGUCGCAUCGGCUGCGUGUUUUCCUUGGAGUCAGUUCCUGGAAUCCCAAUUACGCAGGCGUGUGUUCUUUAAUUUUCAAGGAAGAAAAUCCGUUCUGGGAUCUCCCUGUUCCCGGAAAUUCAAAGUUAAAGGGAAGUGAAC